rnacentral:rRNA from 1 species
AAAAGGCAAGUCGAGCGGAGAGAGGUAGCUUGCUACCGAUCUUAGCGGCGGACGGGUGAGUAAUGCUUAGGAAUCUGCCUAUUAGUGGGGGACAACAUUUCGAAAGGAAUGCUAAUACCGCAUACGUCCUACGGGAGAAAGCAGGGGAUCUUCGGACCUUGCGCUAAUAGAUGAGCCUAAGUCGGAUUAGCUAGUUGGUGGGGUAAAGGCCUACCAAGGCGACGAUCUGUAGCGGGUCUGAGAGGAUGAUCCGCCACACUGGGACUGAGACACGGCCCAGACUCCUACGGGAGGCAGCAGUGGGGAAUAUUGGACAAUGGGCGCAAGCCUGAUCCAGCCAUGCCGCGUGUGUGAAGAAGGCCUUAUGGUUGUAAAGCACUUUAAGCGAGGAGGAGGCUACUCUAGUUAAUACCUAGAGAUAGUGGACGUUACUCGCAGAAUAAGCACCGGCUAACUCUGUGCCAGCAGCCGCGGUAAUACAGAGGGUGCAAGCGUUAAUCGGAUUUACUGGGCGUAAAGCGCGCGUAGGCGGCUAAUUAAGUCAAAUGUGAAAUCCCCGAGCUUAACUUGGGAAUUGCAUUCGAUACUGGUUAGCUAGAGUGUGGGAGAGGAUGGUAGAAUUCCAGGUGUAGCGGUGAAAUGCGUAGAGAUCUGGAGGAAUACCGAUGGCGAAAGGCAGCCAUCUGGCCUAACACUGACGCUGAGGUGCGAAAGCAUGGGGAGCAAACAGGAUUAGAUACCCUGGUAGUCCAUGCCGUAAACGAUGUCUACUAGCCGUUGGGGCCUUUGAGGCUUUAGUGGCGCAGCUAACGCGAUAAGUAGACCCCUGGGGGAGUACGGUCGCAAGACUAAAACUCAAAUGAAUUGACGGGGGCCCGCACAAGCGGUGGAGCAUGGUGGUUUAUUCGAUGCACGCGAGACCUUACCUGGCCUUGACAUAGUAGACUUCAGAGAUGGAUUGGUGCCUUCGGGACUACAUAACAGUGCUGCAUGCUGUCGUCAGCUCGUGUCUUGAAUGUGGUAGUCCCGGCACGAGCGCACCUUUCUUAUUGCAGCGGUAUGUCGGGACUUUAUAGAUCUGCAUGACAAACUGAGAAGGCGGGACGACCUUCAAGCCCAUCAUGC